CCUGGCUCAGGACGAACGCUGGCGGCGUGCCUAAUACAUGCAAGUCGAACGCUUCUUUUUCCACCGGAGCUUGCUCCACCGGAAAAAGAAGAGUGGCGAACGGGUGAGUAACACGUGGGUAACCUGCCCAUCAGAAGGGGAUAACACUUGGAAACAGGUGCUAAUACCGUAUAACAAUCAAAACCGCAUGGUUUUGAUUUGAAAGGCGCUUUCGGGUGUCGCUGAUGGAUGGACCCGCGGUGCAUUAGCUAGUUGGUGAGGUAACGGCUCACCAAGGCCACGAUGCAUAGCCGACCUGAGAGGGUGAUCGGCCACAUUGGGACUGAGACACGGCCCAAACUCCUACGGGAGGCAGCAGUAGGGAAUCUUCGGCAAUGGACGAAAGUCUGACCGAGCAACGCCGCGUGAGUGAAGAAGGUUUUCGGAUCGUAAAACUCUGUUGUUAGAGAAGAACAAGGAUGAGAGUAACUGUUCAUCCCUUGACGGUAUCUAACCAGAAAGCCACGGCUAACUACGUGCCA
rnacentral:rRNA from 1 species